rnacentral:rRNA from 1 species
UACGAAGGGGGCUAGCGUUGUUCGGAAUUACUGGGCGUAAAGCGCACGUAGGCGGGUUGUUAAGUCCGGGGUGAAAUCCUGGAGCUCAACUCCAGAACUGCCUUUGAUACUGGCAACCUAGAGACUGGAAGAGGUUAGUGGAAUUCCCAGUGUAGAGGUGAAAUUCGUAGAUAUUGGGAAGAACACCAGUGGCGAAGGCGGCUAACUGGUCCAGCACUGACGCUGAGGUGCGAAAGCGUGGGGAGCAAACAGG